CCUACGGGGGGCUGCAGUGGGGAAUAUUGGGCAAUGGGGGAAACCCUGACCCAGCGACGCCGCGUGAAGGAAGACGGCCUUCGGGUUGUAAACUUCUUUUGUAUGGGAAGAAGGACGUGACGGUACCAUACGAAUAAGUCCCGGCUAACUACGUGCCAGCAGCCGCGGUAAUACGUAGGGGACGAGCGUUGUCCGGAAUUACUGGGCGUAAAGGGCGCGCAGGCUGUUUGAUAAGUCAGCUGUUAAAUGUUAGGGCUUAACCCUUACCAGCGGUUGAAACUAUCAGACUGGAGUGCUGUAGAGGCAAGUGGAAUUCCCAGUGUAGCGGUGAAAUGCGUAGAUAUUGGGAAGAACACCGGUGGCGAAGGCGACUUGCUGGGCAGCAACUGACGCUGAGGCGCGAAAGCCAGGGGAGCAAACGGGAUUAGAUACCCCAGUAGUC
rnacentral:rRNA from 1 species